CGACAGCGAUGUUGAAAUCAUAGUGAUUAAAUCGCCGGUGCUGAAAUAUCGCUCAUCACUAGUAUAUAUUGAUAAUUAGAAAUUUGUUUUGCCGUGAUAAACUUUAAUGUUGUGUAAUAUAUUAUUGAUAUAAAAUAAUUUAGUCAGUGAAGGUGUGGUUAUGGACAGUACUGAAAACAAUAGUAGAAAGCCUCGACGCACUCGUGGAACACCUGCAUAUCAGUUCCGAAAUAAAUUUGCAUUUGGUUGGAUUGGUUUAGGAGCAGUGUUUUUAGCAGCUUGGGUGUAUACUCCAACAUUUAAAAAGAUUAAUAAAGGCCUUUGCGACUCGUUAUUUACACCAACAGAAGAGGAGAUUGAUCGUCGCUAUUUAUUCAGUUUUCCUAAGCCUCUAUCCAGCAGAGAAAUACAAAAACGUAUUGAUGAAGGAAAAGAGUUUAAUUCUCAAAGAUAAACCUUGCUAAUGGAUCGGGAAACUCGGAAAGCUAAUUUAAGGAAACUCCGGUUGUCCGGAAUUAAACAUGAUGAAUCAAGUACAAGCGGUAGUUUACGGAAAACUAAAUCGAGCAACGGAAUGUUAUCAAAAUAUUUUAAGGCACCAAAAGUAAAUGAAGUUAUUCAAGGAAAUGAAUCAAAAUCAAAUGAGGUUGUGCAUUUGGAAAGUGCAUGUUCAAUAAGAGACUUGAUUAAUACUGAGCAAGAUCAUUUACAAGCAAUAAAUCAUCAAAGCGAAACACAGUUGAAAACAAAUGGAAGAAAGCGGACCAGUUUACGAAAAUUUAUUUUGACGGAAGAAACAAACCCGUAUCAAUGUUCCAAAGAUAAUAAUGAAGACAACUUUGAGGUUCCUGUAAAGAAAACUAAGAUACGAACUAAUUUGAAACGUAAAAAUAAUUCCUCCCGUAACAAAAGAUCUUCUAGAGGCCAGCAGAAUAUUAAAACUUUGCUCAUGCGAAAUGAAGUUAUGUUUUCGGAGAUUACGUCUCAACAAUGUAGACUUGAUAAUUUCAGUGCUGAUGAAAUACAUCUCGCACUCGCAUUGUCUAAAUCACAAGUGGAAACCCAUGCUUCGUCAAACUUCGACUUUGCAGAUCAGAAAGUUGAAAAUAACCAAGUAAAUUUGGAAAGCGUUCAAAAUAUAUUAGGUCAAUAUGGUUUUCGUCCAUG